AAUGGGAUAACUGGAUCAAAUGGUGGUUCCAUUUCAAACUUUUUGAGGAAUCUCCAUACUGCUUUUCAGAGUGGUUGCACCAAUUUGCAGUCCCAACAGCAAU
rnacentral:pre_miRNA from 1 species